AGAGUUUGAUCAUGGCUCAGGAUGAACGCUGGCGGUAUGCUUAACACAUGCAAGUCGAACGGUCGCAAGACAGUGGCGCACGGGUGAGGAACACGUGGCUGACCUGCCCUGGAGUACGGGAUAACGCCUCGAAAGGGGUGCUAAUACCGUAUACCGUCCGCGCGUUUAGAAAGCGCGGAGCAAAGGUUUACCGCUCUGGGAGGGGGCUGCGGCCCAUCAGGUAGUUGGUGUGGUAACGGCGCACCAAGCCGACGACGGGUCGGGGGUCUGAGAGGACGACCCCCCACACUGGGACUGAGACACGGCCCAGACUCCUACGGGAGGCAGCAGUGGGGAAUUUUCCGCAAUGGGCGCAAGCCUGACGGAGCAACGCCGCGUGGACGAUGAAGGCCUGUGGGUCGUAAAGUCCUUUUGUCCGGGAAGAUAAUGACUGUACCGGAAGAAUAAGCCCCGGCUAACUUCGUGCCAGCAGCCGCGGUAAUAC
rnacentral:rRNA from 1 species